rnacentral:rRNA from 1 species
UACGUAGGGUGGCAAGCGUUGUUCGGAAUUAUUGGGCGUAAAGGGCGCGUAGGCGGCUUGUUAAGUCGGCUGUGAAAGUCCAGGGCUCAACCCCUGGAAUGCCGGUGGAAACUGUCGGGCUGGAGUCCGGAAGAGGCGAGUGGAAUUCCUGGUGUAGCGGUGAAAUGCGCAGAUAAUCAGGAGGAACACCAAUGGCGAAGGCAGCUCGCUGGGACGGUACUGACGCUGAGGCGCGAAAGCGUGGGGAGCAAAACAGG